AGUGAACGCUGGCGGUAGGCCUAACACAUGCAAGUCGAACGGCAGCACAGUAAGAGCUUGCUCUUACGGGUGGCGAGUGGCGGACGGGUGAGGAAUACAUCGGAAUCUACUUUUUCGUGGGGGAUAACGUAGGGAAACUUACGCUAAUACCGCAUACGACCUACGGGUGAAAGCAGGGGAUCUUCGGACCUUGCGCGAUUGAAUGAGCCGAUGUCGGAUUAGCUAGUUGGCGGGGUAAAGGCCCACCAAGGCGACGAUCCGUAGCUGGUCUGAGAGGAUGAUCAGCCACACUGGAACUGAGACACGGUCCAGACUCCUACGGGAGGCAGCAGUGGGGAAUAUUGGGCAAUGGGCGCAAGCCUGAUCCAGCCAUACCGCGUGGGUGAAGAAGGCCUUCGGGUUGUAAAGCCCUUUUGUUGGGAAGGAAAAGCAGCAGGUUAAUACCCCGCUGUUCUGACGGUACCCAAAGAAUAAGCACCGGCUAACUUCGUG
rnacentral:rRNA from 1 species